UACAGAGGGUGCAAGCGUUAAUCGGAUUGACUGGGCGUAAAGGGCAUGUAGGUGGUUAUUUAAGUUGAUUGUGAAAUUCUCGGGCUUAACCUGGGAGCUGCUGUCAAAACUGGGUAGCUAGAGUCUAGGAGAGGGAAGUGGAAUUUCCGGUGUAGCGGUGAAAUGCGUAGAUAUCGGAAAGAACACCUGUGGCGAAGGCGACUUCCUGGCCUAAGACUGACACUGAGGUGCGAAAGCGUGGGGAGCAAACAGG
rnacentral:rRNA from 1 species